GAGUAGAGUAGAGUAGAGUAGAGUAGAGUAGAGUAGAGUAGAGUAGAGUAGAGCCGAGUAGAGCCGAGUAGAGUAGAGUAGAGUAGAGCCGAGUAGAGUAGAGUAGAGUAGAGUAGAGUAGAGUAGAGUAGAGUAGAGUAGAGUAGAGUAGAGCCGAGUAGAGCCGAGUAGAGCCGAGUAGAGUAGAGUAGAGUAGAGUAGAGUAGAGUAGAGUAGAGUAGAGUAGAGUAGAGUAGAGCCGAGUAGAGUAGAGUAGAGUAGAGUAGAGUUGAGUAGACUAGAGUAGAGUAGAGUAGAGUAGAGUACAUACGUAAAAACGCGCAAGUUGUAACAAACGUGCAGCAGACUUGUAACAAUGCUGUUCCAACAACUUGUCAACAGGAUGUGUUCGCACUGCUUAUUCCCAGCUUGUUGACAAGUUGUCAACGACUUGUUGACAACUUGCUGCAAGGUUGUUG